rnacentral:rRNA from 1 species
AGAGUUUGAUCCUGGCUCAGGAUGAACGCUGGCGGCGUGCCUAACACAUGCAAGUCGAGCGAUUCUCUUCGGAGAAGAGCGGCGGACGGGUGAGUAACGCGUGGGUAACCUGCCCUGUACACACGGAUAACAUACCGAAAGGUAUGCUAAUACGAGAUAAUAUACUUUUAUCGCAUGGUAGAAGUAUCAAAGCUCCGGCGGUACAGGAUGGACCCGCGUCUGAUUAGCUAGUUGGUAAGGUAACGGCUUACCAAGGCGACGAUCAGUAGCCGACCUGAGAGGGUGAUCGGCCACAUUGGAACUGAGACACGGUCCAAACUCCUACGGGAGGCAGCAGUGGGGAAUAUUGCACAAUGGGCGAAAGCCUGAUGCAGCAACGCCGCGUGAGCGAUGAAGGCCUUCGGGUCGUAAAGCUCUGUCCUCAAGGAAUAUAAUGACGGUACUUGAGGAGGAAGCCCCGGCUAACUACGUGCCAGCAGCCGCGGUAAUACGUAGGGGGCUAGCGUUAUCCGGAAUUACUGGGCGUAAAGGGUGCGUAGGUGGUUUCUUAAGUCAGAGGUGAAAGGCUACGGCUCAACCGUAGUAAGCCUUUGAAACUGGGAAACUUGAGUGCAGGAGAGGAGAGUGGAAUUCCUAGUGUAGCGGUGAAAUGCGUAGAUAUUAGGAGGAACACCAGUUGCGAAGGCGGCUCUCUGGACUGUAACUGACACUGAGGCACGAAAGCGUGGGGAGCAAACAGGAUUAGAUACCCUGGUAGUCCACGCCGUAAACGAUGAGUACUAGCUGUCGGAGGUUACCCCCUUCGGUGGCGCAGCUAACGCAUUAAGUACUCCGCCUGG